CCCAGGCGUUUCCACUCAGUGAUCAGCACUCAACACAGAGGACUCACCAUGGAGUUUGGGCUGAGCUGGAUUUUCCUUGUUGCUAUUUUAAAAGGUGUCCAGUGUGAGGUGCAGCUGGUGGAGUCUGGGGGAGGCUUGGUGCAGCCUGGGGGGUCCCUGAGACUCACCUGUGCAGCCUCUGGAUUCACCUUCAGUAACUACUACAUGUACUGGGUCCGCCAGGCUCAAGGGAAAGGGCUAGAGUGGGUAGGUUUAAUAAGAAACAAGGCUAACAGUUACACCACAGAAUAUGCUGCAGCUGUGAAAGGCAGAUUUACCAUCUCAAGAGAUGAUUCAAAGAACACACUGUAUCUGCAAAUGAGCGGCCUGAAAACCGAGGACACGGCCGUGUAUUACUGUACCACAGACACAGUGAGGGGAGGUCAGUGUGAGCCCAGACACAAACCUCCUUGCAGGGGUGCGCGUGGCCACCAGGGGGCGCUCGGGACCCACUGA